UUUUUAUCCUUUUUCUCUACUUCAGGGCUAGUUGUCAUGUUUGGACUUAGAGAAUUUUGAUGACCUCAGGAAUAGAUACUGUAAAUUAUUUUACCUGGUAAAAGUUGCUCAACGUGUUGUACUUGCGUUUGUCGAUAAGCAUACUGUAAAUUUUUUUACCAUGUAAAAAUGCACAAAUUAUACUAUAAAUUUUUUUACCAUGUAAAAAAAAUUUGUUGACUUCAGGGCUAGUUUUUAGUAGAGAUGUUGCAGCCAAGGACCAUAUUUUUGUGUUACACUUUCAGCUUCUCAGCUAUAACACCUUCAACACAAGGAGAAAGUCCCCG
rnacentral:misc_RNA from 1 species